CCCCCUUCCCUCCAGCCUGGGAUCACUCACUGGAGGAAAACAGUAUUCCCCCUCCCCCCUCCAAUCCCAUGGCCAAAUCUCCGUGCGGGUUUGGGCUUCAACUCUGCGAGGAUUCAGAGCAGGAGGAAAUAGGGAACUGCCGGGAGUCCGGGGAGAUCCUAAAGAAACAGGAGGGCGGGGGCGUUAGGAGUGACGCAGAGGGGAGCCGAUGAGAGGGAGAAUGAAGUAAAUUAACCAAGCGGGGAGGGGACAACCACUUCCUUCUUGCUCCAUCUUCAUUGUUCAAAGCGGCGCCUUCUGCGAAUUCUGCAUUUCCUGUCCCUGAAAUCCUGGGGGGGGACCCCCUCCGGAGCUGAACGGCCCCUGAGCACGGCCGCAGUGGGCAGUUUGCAAAGCGCAGCUCAGGAGCAGAGUUGGGAAGUCCCUCAUCCUACUGAUCCCCUUUCAAGCAGAUUUGUGUGGCAUUUCCCCUUUAUUCUGUACACCUGGGGUGCCAGAAGCGCUGUGGGUCUCCUGUGAGUGCCUGGAUUUAAAGUCUUUUAUCGCCAUCCAAUCAUGGCAAGAAGAUGGUGUUGCUGAACAGAAUUCCAUCCAUCCCUCGUAACAUGUGCACCCUGUUGGUUUGAACUGGAAUAGAAAUCCCAGCAUUUUAGGACUUGGGAGAGCUAAUGGCCUCUGCCAUGGGAGCCAGACAGUUGGUGGCUACUGUGGUGCUUAUGUGCAUAUUGCUUCAUGAGACAUCUGCUCAAAACCUCAUCAAGAACCAGAAGACAGAGUACUUGCUCCUGAUAAAUGAGAUCAAUGCAGACAACCCGGGGGAAGAUACCUCUGAGUUUGUGGAGCUCUAUCACACCAGUGGCCAAGAGGCCCCCUUGGAUGACUACUACCUGGUCUUUUACAAUGGCAACGGCAACCAGGCCUACAAAGUCCUGAACCUUCAGGGCAAAGUCACUGAUAAUCAAGGGUUUUUUCUUGUUGGGUCUUCCACAGUGAAACCCCAGCCCUCCGUGAUCUUGCCUAAGAACACUAUCCAGAACGGGCCUGAUGCCAUUGCUCUGUAUUAUGGGAAGAGGAACUACCAGGAGGGCAUGAGGGUCACCAGUGACGGGCUGGUGGAUGCCCUGGUCCAUAAGUCCAGGAAGAGUGACAGAGCGGACAUGUUGCUCAGUGUGCUGACCCCCAACAGAGAUGCUUUCCUGGAGGAUCCCUCCUUCAGGACCACAGAUGAGUCGAUAGAAAGGUGCCACGGGGAGGGUUCUCAGUGGAUCUUUCAAGUGGCCAUGCCCACCCCAGGCAAGGAUAACCACUGCAUCCGCUCUUCCCAGCUGAAUGCUUCUGCCGUGCUAAUCAGUGAGGUUCAUGCUGUUACCUCUCCUGGGGAGUCUGAAUUCAUUGAACUUCAGGGACCUCCUUCCACUGCCCUGAGGGACUUGGUUCUGGUGCUGAUCGAAGGACAGACCAAAGGGGUUUAUUUCUUCAUGGAUGUUUAUGGCAAAACCUCUCCUGAGGGGCUAUUUCUCAUUGGUCCUGCACAAGCCAGAACCCCAGUUGACCUGCCAUUCCCACCAAACUCAAGCAGCCCUCUUCUCAGCACUGGUUCCCAAGCCAUCGCCCUGUACGUUGGAAACAGCAGCAGUUUCACAUUGGGGAAAGCAGCAUGUGCUACCAACCUGUUGGAUGCUUUAGUGUACAUGAGCAACGGGAGUGCAGACCCAGAGCUCCUGGAGAUCCUGACCCCUGGGAGACAUGCCUAUGAGAAAAACAGCCACCAGCCAGGUAACAUGUCCAUGAGUCGGUGCAGCUGCUGCUCCGUGACCCGGGACCCCUCCAUCUACGCCCUCAGCAGCCCCACGCCAGGACAGUUCAAUGACUGCCCCAGCAGCCGCUUCAGCCAUCCCAUCUCCCUCUGCCUCCAUAUAGCAGAUUGCCAGUUGUGGCUCCUUGGGUCAUAUGAGAUACAGACGGCUCUAGCCCAGGCCCUUGACAAGCUGUGCAAUUGUGGAAUGUCUGUUGCAUACUUUAAAGAUCCUGUCACAACAUGCCAGGGCACAGAGCUUGUAUUCACCAUGCUCCUGACUGCCAAGUCAGCUGAGCAGCUGAGCAGCCUGGUACAAGCCUUCACCAGCUUCCUGGAGAACCCCAGGGCAACAAGUUUCAGCAACUGGAAUGCCACAGUGGAAAAGGCCUGUUCCAAAGAUGCUAAUGUCACGGCAUCUCCUCCAGGUGCCUCAUCAGAAGGGACCAGUGAGCCACCUUCCCGUGCAGCUGAGCUGCUCAUCAAUGAGGUGAAUCCGGACAAUCCGGGAGGCCAGGAGGAUAUGGAGUACAUCGAGCUGCUCUACACUGGGCAGACACGUUUUGACCUCCAUGGUUAUUGGCUGGUCCUUUAUAAUGGCAAAAACAACCAGGCCUACAGGGUGGUGAACCUGACGGGCUACUGUACUAACGAGCAGGGCUACUUCCUGGUGGGGAGUGCGUUGGUGACCCCAAGUCCUGUGAUUGUUCUGCCUCCAAACACCAUUCAGAAUGGGGGAGAUGCCGUGGCCCUCUACCACAGUACCACGUUCACCUACAGCGUGGGCAUGGCUGUGACAGAGGCAGGGCUGGUGGAUGCAGUGGUCUACAAGUCCCGGGUGUCUGACAGGGCAGAUAAGCUCCUCAAAGUACUGACCCCAGGGCAGAAUAUCCUGUAUGAAGAUGACUCCCACAGCAGCCAGGAUGAGUCUCUGAGCCGGUGUAACAGCCAGAGCCCCAGAGUCCACAGCAGCUUCCAGGUGACUACGAUAACACCAUUCGGGGAGAAUGCCUGCACCAACUCCUCAGCACCAUCUCCCACCGUCCCCUCCCUCCUAAUCAACGAGCUGAGCCUGGCCAACAGCACCGCCCCCUACCAGUUCAUUGAGCUGAAGGGCAAACCUGGAGCCACCCUGGGAGAAUAUACCCUGGUGUUCUUCUCUGGGCAGGAUGGCAAAGCAUAUGCCAGCAUUCCACUACAGGGCAAGUUCGGGGUGACAGGCCUGUUUGUGAUUGCACCGUCAGGACCGCCCAGGCCUGAUCAGCAAUUGCCGUUUGUCAAGAACGCCCCAUCUGUUAGACAUGGUUCCAGCGCUGUGGCAGUUUACAACAGCCGUCAAGCAAGAAUUCCUGUUGGCAUGAUGGUGACUCUAGAGAACCUGGUGGAUGCUCUGGUGUACACAUGGGAAUCUAGCACAGGCAGAGGACAACUGAACCGCCUCGGUCCAUCACACUUUGUGCCCUGUGCAGAGGAGAGGCCAGUGUCUCUGAGCCGAUGCUCCUGCUGUGAUGUGAGUGCUGCGCUGGUGUAUGCCAUCUCGGACCCUACGCCUGGCUUGGAGAACAGCUGCCCCCUGAAGUCAUUUGCUGUGGAUCUUGAUAUGUGCCUGCUGACACUCAAUUGCUCUAUGUGGACCUCAAACCCUGAGAGAGCGCAUGACAGCCUGGAGAAGGUAUUAACAAAAUCCAUAGAGGAAAACUGUGCCUGUGGCAUCUCCCAGUUCUAUCUACACGCAGAGCUCAACUUCACCUGCACAGACUCCAUGUUGAAGCUUUCAGGUCAGGUGUGGGCCAAGUCACCAGAGCAGCAGCAUCUAAUCCUAAACUGGCACAGGGACUUCGCUGCCAGCCCUCAUCCCUUUUCUGUGGAUGGGAGAGUACUUAAAACAAACAAAGAGUGUGUCGCUCUGGACAACGCAGUGUCAACGUCACAGAAUGGCUCCUCCUUCCAAGCCUGGGAAAUAGCCCUCUUUGUCCUGGGAGCUAUCCUGCUCACACUCACACUGGUCGCUGUAGCAGCCACUUACUUCAAAAGACACUCCCUGAAUUACACCACCAUAGAAAUGAAUGACCGCAGACAGAUGGCAGCAGACUUCUAACUCUUCCAGGAAAAAUGUCACUGGCAAGAUCCAUUAUUCUAGGGGUUGCUGGGGCUUGCAUCUCAAGGGGUCGCAGCGCUUCCUGGAGUGGCGCAGGGCCAGGGACAGGACAGGCAUGCAGGGAACCUGCCCUGGCACCAGUGCAUGCCGCUGCCAACCUGGAGCCACUUCAGGUAACAAAUGUGACUCCCCACGUUAAUCCUCCUGGCAAACAUACCUGAUGCAGCCUCCUGGGAUCUGCUCUUGGUACAUGUUACCCAAGAUACCUGUUUCAAAGCUGGCCAGUAUGUGCAACUCCCUACAGGAGGCAGCGGUGAAUGGGUAAAGAAACCAGACACUUGGCUUGCCCCCAGACCAGACCGCCUGGGACCUAUCGUGGUUACAGCUUGCCUCCGAAAACAUCCAGGCUCCAAGGUCUCAAUUCAGCUACCACAGCCUGGGAGCAGUCUUUGGCUCCCUCCCUGCAUUUCACUGGAUCUGGACUGUAACUGGGUAUUUAGCUUCAGGGGAUGUGGGCACACACAUACAGUACCCCCAAUUUCGGAAUGCAAGUUCACAGAAUGUUGGGUCAAAGGCCAAACCACCCAAGCCCUUAGACAUACUAACACUGGGUUAUCUUAUGCUCUGACUGCAAUUGAUGUAGCCAUAGAGGAUUUUUCAAAAUCAUUAAGAAAACCUCAGAUGCUAUAGUCAACUUGUCCAAGUCUCAAGCUAAAGGUCGUGCUUGUGAUAUGCUGGCUCGUAAUCUAACAUUGCAAAAGAAGAUAUGCUAGAUGUAUGCCUGGGUUUUCCCCCCAUCCCAUACCCUUUCCUCCCCCACCCUUGCCCACACUGCAGGCAUCUCUACACAACUAAUAGUAGCCUCUCUACUUCCUCCAGACUCACCUUCCUCCUUCAAUUUCCUUCUUGUAUAUCCUUCUGUCAUUUCUACUCAUGUGUUUCCUUCUUCUUUCCAUUUAAAGUCUAUUGAAUAUGUGGCUAAUAAUAUGGUGUAUGAAGUAGGGCUGCCUGGAUACCUGACACCAUCCCCUGACAAUGCUACACUGAUGACAACCUCAGACUGUUGCACAAAACCAGACAAUUACAACGUGUACUCCUGUUCUACCCUUCGCCCUAUGACCUCAUCCUCUUCUGUUGUUGUGGAUCUCCUUCCUCUUGCAGAUGGUGAAGUUGCUGUACAAGUAUCCGCUACCCAGUGGUGUUUCAUCACCGCUGCAUCUUAUUACAUGUACGGACCAUUACUGUUCCAGGCAAACGCUUCCAUGUGCCUGCAGAUUACUGACUCAUUUACCCUAGGUGAUGUGCACCUCCCCAGCCACGUGUUCACUAAAAUGACAGCAGCUGCUCGGUGGUAUAACAACCUGUACCUAGACAACACACCUGUUCAACUGGCCAAGGAGCUACUACUCAAAGUGGUCCUGGCUGCUGCAUCUGCGUUUACCACCAUUCAUAACCACAUCACCAAAGGUCGCAUUCAAGUCCAGCUCUCCAAUCAAACCAUCACCCAACUGAAAGAUCCUGUUCAUAAUGCAUCUUACAGCCCCAUCUCCUGGUGGACAAUUGUCCAAAUAACAGCUAUUGUCCUUCUAUAUUUGUGUUACUAACCUCUCUUGUCAUGUGUGGGUACUUUAUAUACAUGCUUAAAAAUCUUACUAUGUUUCCUACCUUUACCCCCUUCCCCCAAUUACCCUCUCCCUCCCUGCUCCCACCUUCCUCGGGCAACCCUAAAACAGAUCAUGUAUAUCAAAGUAUUUAAAGUAUUGACUUUAUCUCACUUAAAAGUUCAAUUUGUCAAAAGAAGGGAAUUGUCAAGAAGGAGUUAAAAUUCAGCCACCAGAAAAGACAGAAACUGCUGAGAAGCAAGGACAUAGUUUCUGUCAAUACACGAUAACUUAGUUCAGCUUAUCGAUAAGAAGGAACAAAGAUGUGCCCAUGGAAAGCAAGCGUUUAGUGAGGAAAGCAGGAUCAGGCCCAAACAAGCAAGCAGGAAUAUUUCAGUAGCACAAAUGGCACUGACAAUUGUAAACAAUUGAUAAGCUUAUAUGGUUAAUGCCCGCUGUAACGGUGCCCUCCUGGCUCCUCCACAAAACUCAGCCAUAGACCACCUCAAGUGUUUGCACCAGUGCUCUUUUAUUCUUUCGUGCUAGUUCCCACCACCAGCUAUAUACACUUUCUUCUGGCCAACACCCUGGGGGACUGCUAGCUUUCCCUACUAGCAGGGACCUAGAGCCAUAUGCUCCUCCCCUUGUGGUGGUGGUGGUGGUGGUGGUGCCGCCGCCCCCCUCCCCUUAGUUUCCCCCCUGCCAGCUUUAUAUGGCAGGCUGGCUGAUUAGGCCUGCAGGUGACGAUGCUCAAGUAAUCAGGGCAUAGUCUCCCCUGCCAGCCCCAACUAAUCCCUGUAAUUGGAGAGGGGCUAACAGGGACCUGGCCAGGCUCUUCUGGCCAGCACCCUGUUACACUGCCCAGUAACUUAGUUCUUAGAACAGAAUAAACCCUCCCUUCACAGCCCAUUGGAUAUCUGUAAGCACUCAUCCCUACCCGCCACCCUGCCUCCUUCCCCUGCAAGGUAGUCAUAGAUGUUUGAUGUUAUUAAGAUGACCUCUAUAUGUAUGUACUGUUCUUAUCUUUAUCUUUGUUCAGGAUUCUCUCUCAACUUGGAACAAUGUCUGUCUCUGUAUAUACAGAUAAAUGCAAAUGAAUUGUAAGAAAAUGUAUAUAACUGACCACUACAGCGCCAUAUUUUUGAAGCUGCUUGUCAGUCUUUCCGGUACUGCAAAU